UGCUCUUUCAGCGCUAAAGGACCCAAUCA
rnacentral:piRNA from 1 species